rnacentral:rRNA from 1 species
ACUCCUACGGGAGGCAGCAGUAGGGAAUCUUGCACAAUGGGCGAAAGCCUGAUGCAGCGACGCCGCGUGGGGGAUGAAGGCCUUCGGGUUGUAAACCCCUUUCAGUAGGGACGAAAAUGACGGUACCUACAGAAGAAGNCCGGCUAACUAC